rnacentral:piRNA from 1 species
UACAAUGACUUCAUUUGAUAGUGACAA